UUUGUCUCUCGUGCGUCUAAUAUAUAACAAGAUUAGUGUCAACAGAGGCAACUAAUUCGAUCGCUUUCUUUUUGGCUUCUUGCUCUGUCUUUUUCGUCAGAUUGUUUUCUUCCUCCUGUUAAAUGGUAAUCCCUUCUCCUUGUGUGUCAUAUUUCUCCAUUAUUGCCCUUCGAGAAAUGACAUUUGGACAUGCUGGCUAGACGAGAGAGAGACAU
rnacentral:lncRNA from 1 species